rnacentral:ncRNA from 1 species
GCAAGGGUGACUGCGUACCUUUUGUAUAAUGGGUCAGCGACUUACAUUCAGUGGCGAGGUUAACCGAAUAGGGUAGCCGCAGGGAAACCGAGUCCGAAUAGGGCGAUUCAGUCGCUGGGUGUAGACCCGAAACCAAGUGAUCUAUCCAUGGCCAGGAUGAAGGCACCGUAACAGGUGCUGGAGGUCCGAACCGACUAGUGUUGCAAAACUAGCGGAUGAGCUGUGGAUAGGGGUGAAAGGCUAAACAAACUUGGAAAUAGCUGGUUCUCUCCGAAAACUAUUUAGGUAGUGCCUCAAGUAUUACCAUCGGGGGUAGAGCACUGUUAUGGCUAGGGGGUCAUGGCGACUUACCAAACCAUUGCAAACUCCGAAUACCGAUGAGUACAGCUUGGGAGACAGAGCACCGGGUGCUAACGUCCGGACUCAAGAGGGAAACAACCCAGACCGCCAGCUAAGGUCCCCAAAAUUGGCUAAGUGGGAAACGAAGUGGGAAGGCUAAAACAGUCAGGAUGUUGGCUUAGAAGCAGCCAUCAUUUAAAGAAAGCGUAAUAGCUCACUGAUCGAGUCGUCCUGCGCGGAAGAUGUAACGGGGCUAAGCCAGUUACCGAAGCUGCGGAUGUGCAAUUUAUUGCAAGUGGUAGGAGAGCGUUCUGUAAGCCUGUGAAGGUGGGUUGUGAAGCCUGCUGGAGGUAUCAGAAGUGCGAAUGCUGACAUGAGUAGCGUUAAAGGGGGUGAAAAGCCCCCUCGCCGAAAGCGCAAGGUUUCCUACGCAACGUUCAUCGGCGUAGGGUGAGUCGGCCCCUAAGGCGAGGCAGAGAUGCGUAGCUGAUGGGAAACAGGUCAAUAUUCCUGUACCGAUCAAUAGUGCGAUGUGGGGACGGAGAAGGUUAGCUCAGCCGGGUGUUGGAUGUCCCGGUUCAAGCCUGUAGUCGUGCCUGGUAGGCAAAUCCGCCGGGCUUAGAUGAGGGGUGAUAACGAGUCUGCUUGCAGACGAAGUGAGUGAUACCCUGCUUCCAGGAAAAGCCACUAAGCUUCAGCUAUUGACGACCGUACCGCAAACCGACACUGGUGCGCGAGAUGAGUAUUCUAAGGCGCUUGAGAGAACUCAGGAGAAGGAACUCGGCAAA